GAGCUGCAGACGGUACUCGGUGGACGGUACGUUGCGUCCACGUCCACUAGCCUAGCUCACUCACGUGAAUGCAGGUUUGCUAGAUUACCAGGACACAGUUUCGUUUCCAAUUCGGCAAGGAGGAAAGUAGGAGUGUGCGCAUGCAAAAGAAAAUGUGAGAGACCGACGUGGUGGAGGCAAAAAAGAGCCGUGCUGGCAAAGAACGCAAAGAAGGCUGUUGCUGAUCAUCACACCAGUUCUGACGACGCCUUAACUUCCUGAUAUUCACCCCUUUUGCUGACAGCGCAGUCACAGUUUCAAAGAAGUCCUUCCUGUGGCUGAACCGAUCUCGCAUGACCAUGUGUGCCCAGGUUUACAAAGGACAUUAUUGCAGUCCACCCUGGUUGUGAAGUUGGGAAAGGGGGCUGGCAAAAAGAUAGCUGGACAUUGCCAAAGUGCAGGCCAAAACAGAUGCUGCUCUUCAGGAGUUUCCACAGACAAGUGCCUCUGAUGUGCCAGACACAAGUGUAAUAAUGAGCAGUUCAGCCAAGAAAAGGAACAUAAUAUGUAGUAUGUUUCUGUAUAGUGGGUCGUAGGGCAGUGGUGCAAUGAACAGGAAUGUUGUUUUUUUUAUUGUAUAUUGUUCCACAGUGUUCUUAUGAAUGAGAAAUGUGUUCAGUUUCUUACUAGAACAAUGUGACGUUCUCUUUUCAUUAGUGAACUAUAUUUUUCAUAAUAUUUCUAGAAAGCGUACUAAAAAACAAUUAUCUUUGACAAUUCUCAAGUGUGUUAAAAGUUGAACUGUGAAAAUAGUUUAAAGGAUAAUGUUUGUGUUUGUGUACAAUUCUUUGUCAGUAUAUUUGCAAUGUACUAUUGAAAAUAUAAAUA